rnacentral:rRNA from 1 species
GGGCGUAAGCGUGCGUAGGUGGUUGUUUAAGUCUGUUGUGAAAGCCCUGGGCUCAACCUGGGAAUUGCAGUGGAUACUGGGCGACUAGAGUGUGGUAGAGGGUAGUGGAAUUCCCGGUGUAGCAGUGAAAUGCGUAGAGAUCGGGAGGAACAUCCAUGGCGAAGGCAGCUACCUGGACCAACACUGACACUGAGGCACGAAAGCGUGGGGAGCAAACAGGAUUAGAUAUCCUGGUAGUCCACGCCCUAAACGAUGCGAACUGGAUGUUGGGUGCAAUUUGGCACGCAGUAUCGAAGCUAACGCGUUAAGUUCGCCGCCUGGGGAGUACGGUCGCAAGACUGAAACUCAAAGGAAUUGACGGGGGCCCGCACAAGCGGUGGAGUAUGUGGUUUAAUUCGAUGCAACGCGAAGAACCUUACCUGGUCUUGACAUGUCGAGAACUUUCCAGAGAUGGAUUGGUGCCUUCGGA